rnacentral:rRNA from 1 species
AGCGAACGCUGGCGGCAGGCCUAACACAUGCAAGUCGAACGAACCCUUCGGGGUUAGUGGCGGACGGGUGAGUAACACGUGGGAACGUGCCUUUAGGUUCGGAAUAACUCAGGGAAACUUGUGCUAAUACCGAAUGUGCCCUUCGGGGGAAAGGUUUAUCGCCUUUAGAGCGGCCCGCGUCUGAUUAGCUAGUUGGUGAGGUAACGGCUCACCAAGGCGACGAUCAGUAGCUGGUCUGAGAGGAUGACCAGCCACACUGGGACUGAGACACGGCCCAGACUCCUACGGGAGGCAGCAGUGGGGAAUCUUGCGCAAUGGGCGAAAGCCUGACGCAGCCAUGCCGCGUGAAUGAUGAAGGUCUUAGGAUUGUAAAAUUCUUUCACCGGGGACGAUAAUGACGGUACCCGGAGAAGAAGCCCCGGCUAACUUCGUGCCAGCCGCCGCAGUAAUAC